AACCUAGCACACCUGCGGUGUGUACCUGCGGAAGGAUCAUUAAAAAACUUUGCCCGCGGACCCUGGGUCCAAGGCGCAAAACCCACACUAUGUGCACUGUUAUCGUUCUUUUGGCAGGGGCUUGGGGUAUCUUCCAACUUGGGGAACCUCAACUUCUCGUCUAGCUCUAUCCACCUCGGACAGCUGGACAUGAGAAGCAGUUACUCUGCCAAGUGACCCUUAAAAACACGCUUUUUGUCU
rnacentral:misc_RNA from 1 species